GACGAACGCUGGCGGCGUGCCUAAUACAUGCAAGUCGACCUUAGUGGCGACCGGGUGUGUCACACGUGGGUAACCUGCCCAUCAGAAGGGGAUAACACUUGGCAACAGGUGCUAAUACCUUAUACUGAUGGUUGGACCCUCGUUGCAUUCGCUAGUUGGGGAGGUAACGGCUCACCAGGGCCACGAUGCCUAGCCGACCUGAGAGGGUGGUCGGCCACAUUGGGACUGAGACACGGCCCAAACUCCUACGGGAGGCAGCAGUAGGGAAUCUUCGGCAAUGGACGAAAGUCGGACCGAGCAACGCCGCGUGAGUGAAGAAGGUUUUCGGAUCGUAAAACUCUGUUGUUAGAGAAGCGGUAUCUAACCAGAAAGCCACGGCUAACUACGUGCCAGCAGCCGCGGUAAUUC
rnacentral:rRNA from 1 species